GACGUAGGGCGCGAGCGUUGUCCGGAUUUAUUGGGCGUAAAGAGCUCGUAGGCGGCUUGUCGCGUCGAACUGUGAAAACCCGAGGCUCAACCUCGGGCCUGCAGUGGGUACGGGCAGACUAGAGUGGCGGUAGGGGAGAUUGGAAUUCCUGGUGUAGCGGUGGAAUGCGCAGGAUAUCAGGAGGAACACCGAUGGCGAAGGCAGAUCUCUGGGCCGUAACUGGACGCUGA
rnacentral:rRNA from 1 species